rnacentral:rRNA from 1 species
CACGUAGUUAGCCGGGGCUUCUUCUGGAGGUACCGUCACCCUACUGGGCUAUUCACCCGAGUAGCUUCGUCCCUCCUGAAAGAGGUUUACAACCCGAAGGCCUUCUUCCCUCACGCGGCGUCGCUGCGUCACGGUUUCCCGCAUUAGCGCAAGAUUCCCCACUGCUGCCUCCCGUAGGAGUCUGGGCCGUGUCUCAGUCCCAGUGUGGCUGAUCGUCCUCUCAGACCAGCUACGGAUCGUCGCCUUGGUGAGCCGUUACCUCACCAACAAGCUAAUCCGCCGCGGGCUCGUCCUCGACCGGAGGCCGAAGCUACCUUUCCUCCGGAUCCGGGGAUCCAAAGGGCCAUCCGGUAUUAAUCCCGGGUUUCCCCGGGCUACUCCCAGUGUCGAGGGUUGAUUACCCACGUGUUACUCACCCGUUCGCCGCUCGUCCCAGGCCCGAAGGCCUGGCUCUCGCUCGACUUGCAUGUGUUAAGCGCGCCGCCAGCGUUCGUCCUCGAGCCGAGAUCGAAACUCU